rnacentral:rRNA from 1 species
AGAACGAACGCUGGCGGCAUGCCUAACACAUGCAAGUCGAACGUGAUCCAUGACUUCGGUUGUGGUGAAAGUGGCAAACGGGUGAGUAACGCGUGGGAAUCUGCCCAGAGGUAGGGAAUAACCGCGGGAAACUGCGGCUAAUACCCUAUGUGCCCUACGGGGCAAAGAUUUAUCGCCUUUGGAGGAGCCCGCGUCGGAUUAGGUAGUUGGUAGGGUAACGGCCUACCAAGCCUACGAUCCGUAGCUGGUCUGAGAGGAUGAUCAGCCACACUGGGACUGAGAUACGGCCCAGACUCCUACGGGAGGCAGCAGUGGGGAAUAUUGGACAAUGGGGGCAACCCUGAUCCAGCAAUGCCGCGUGAGUGAUGAAGGCCUUCGGGUUGUAAAGCUCUUUCGGGCGGGAAGAUGAUGACGGUACCCGCAGAAGAAGCCCGGCUAACUUCGUGCCAGCAGCCGC